CACAAAACUGCUGUUGCUCACUGAAGUGACUUGUGGCAGUAGAGGGAAGGAAAAAGGAAGCUGGAGAAGCUGUCUCAUGAAGCUGAAUCUGCUGUCCAAUUUCAUUCUCAUUUUCUCAACUAAGUACAUUUUCAGCAUAAAACCUAUACGUGAUACAGACUAUUUCAGCUGAAGGAUGCUCUUCCUCACCUAGCCUGUGGCCAGUAGGGAGAAGUUCCUCAGGAACCAUCAGUCAAGGAUGUGUGAUCUUCUGCAGAUCAGCGACAGCAGCCCUGCUUGCAGGCAGGUGCUUCUCCCACUGUGCCUUGUCAAAAUAUCAUGGCUGAGGAAUGUGGAAAGCAGCUCAUGCAGCUUUUGGAAAUUUCAUCGCAGUGCUUUGUUGUUUUUUGAGGAGGAAAAAAAAAAAAGAAAAAAAGAGUGACAGUGAAGCUAUGAAGAUACAUCUUAGCAUAACGAGUUUCAAUUUCUAUGCUUAUAGAAAUGUCUAAUAAAUACUGCUAACAAGUGAGGUGCUAAGGUGCCUAAAACUUUCAUGCUAUUCUAUUCUUGGUUAUUAGAAUGUACCACUGAACAAAUACAGCCCUUAUCUCCCAGUGCAGUUCAAAAAAACAUCUCUUAUCGUCAUGGUAGAAACUGAGCAGAGAAGUUCAAAGCCAUGGACUUCUUUUUACUCUCAGCUGCAGCUUCAGGAGCAGCAAGCUCAGUAAAAUGCUCCUCUGCCCAGAAAGUAUGAAAGGGUACUGAAUAUUAAGCAUUGGCUUAAUUGCUAUAUUGUUUCUGAAGACUGAUCUUUUGAAAGGUCAGUGGAAUGUGAACUUCUGAAAUGGCUCAGUGUUUGGAGAGAAGCAUCACAUCAGUGCCUGCGUGUGCCAGAUGUGUGUUUUACUAGCUGCAGAUAAUUGAGUUACUCACCUACAAGAAUGGAAGAACAGUGAAAAAAAAUGAAACUUUCUGAAAGAGAAAUACAAAACAAAAUAAAACUAAUUUUCAAAUACAUCACGUCCUGUCCAUUGGCAUUAUGCAUAAUAUGAUAAAGUAUUUGAGUGUGCACUGAACUUUGAGAGUAUUUAUUUCUUCAACUACAGUUUUCUUUACACUUUUGUCUGGAUGAUUCCAUUUCAUACGAU